rnacentral:misc_RNA from 1 species
GAUGAAGAACGCAGCGAAAUGCGAUAAGUAAUGUGAAUUGCAGAAUUCAGUGAAUCAUCGAAUCUUUGAACGCACAUUGCGCCCGCCAGUAUUCUGGCGGGCAUGCCUGUUCGAGCGUCAUUUCAACCAUCAAGCCCCAGGCUUGUGUUGGGGACCUGCGGCUGCCGCAGGCCCUGAAAACCAGUGGCGGGCUCGCUGUCACACCGGGCGUAGUAGAUUUUAUCUCGCUCUGGGCGUGCUGCGGGUUCCGGCCGUUAAAAAACCCUUUUUACCCAAGGUUGACCUCGGAUCAGGUAGGAAUACCCGCUGAACUUAAGCAUAUCAAUAAGCGGAGGA